UACGUAGGGUGCGAGCGUUAAUCGGAAUUACUGGGCGUAAAGCGUGCGCAGGCGGCUUCGCAAGUCAGGCGUGAAAUCCCCGGGCUUAACCUGGGAAUGGCGUCUGAAACUACGGAGCUGGAGUGUGGCAGAGGGAGGUAGAAUUCCACGUGUAGCGGUGAAAUGCGUAGAGAUGUGGAGGAACACCAGUGGCGAAGGCGGCUUUCUGGUCUGUAACUGACGCUGAGGCGCGAAAGCGUGGGGAGCAAACAGG
rnacentral:rRNA from 1 species